rnacentral:rRNA from 1 species
UACGUAGGGUGCGAGCGUUAAUCGGAAUUACUGGGCGUAAAGCGUGCGCAGGCGGUUUUGUAAGCCAGAUGUGAAAUCCCCGGGCUUAACCUGGGAAUGGCAUUUGGGACUGCAAGGCUUGAGUGCGGCAGAGGAGACUGGAAUUCCUGGUGUAGCAGUGAAAUGCGUAGAUAUCAGAAGGAACACCGAUGGCGAAGGCAGGUCUCUGGGCUGACACUGACGCUCAUGCACGAAAGCGUGGGGAGCAAACAGG